rnacentral:rRNA from 1 species
CGGUACUCAGUUCGGAUUGAAGGCUGAAAUUCGCCUUCAUGAAGCUGGAAUUGCUAGUAAUGGCAGGUCAGCAUACUGCCGUGAAUACGUUCCCGGGCCUUGUACACACCGCCCGUCACACCAUGAGAGUUGGAAAUACCCGAAGCCUGUGAGCUAACUUUUAGAGGCAGCAGUCGAAGGUAGAGCCAAUGAUUGGGGUGAAGUCGUAACAAGGUACC